rnacentral:misc_RNA from 1 species
UAUCUGGCACAUGGUGGGA